UACGUAGGGUGCAAGCGUUGUCCGGAAUUAUUGGGCGUAAAGAGCUUGUAGGCGGUUUGUCGCGUCUGCUGUGAAAUUUCGGGGCUCAACCCCGAACUUGCAGUGGGUACGGGCAGACUAGAGUGUGGUAGGGGUGACUGGAAUUCCUGGUGUAGCGGUGAAAUGCGCAGAUAUCAGGAGGAACACCGGUGGCGAAGGCGGGUCUCUGGGCAACAACUGACGCUGAGGGACGAAAGCUAGGGGAGCGAAAGGG
rnacentral:rRNA from 1 species